CCUGCACAUCAGAAAUUCUUGGAAGGAUAAAGCCCACGAUCUUCAGUUAGCGACGGUUUUCAGCUUUUCAUCUAUAACCGGUUGUGGCCCCUUUCUCCGGUGAUUCUAAAUGCAAAAGAUACAUACAUGUUAAAUCCUUGUCUCUUUUCUUCAUCGCAUCUUCUCUCUGUGUUUCUCUGGUCCCUCGUCUCGGUAAUUAUUCAUAACAGCAGUCAAAAUUGGUUGCCUAUAUGUCCCAUCUCCACAACCUAAAUCUGCAUUUUCACCUUCGAAUUACCAUCUGUUCAAGGCAAACCUUGGUGUUGGAACAUAGCGCACAUCAUUACCUGGAGUGGCCAACACUUCCAUGCUGCUAAAGAUCUGAAAAGCCCUAUGUAUACAGAGAUGGACUAAGCGAAGCCUAACAAAAGUCUCAAUGUGUAGAAUGUGGAAUAUCACAAGAGUUCUAUGGAGGCUGCAAGAAGUUCAAGUAUUAAGGCGAGGCAAUUAGCGGCUUCUAGUCUCUGGUGUCUCCUUUUUCAAUUGGAUUUUAAAGUAAUUGACAGUGAUGUU